CUUCGGGAACAUUGAGACAGGNGCUGCAUGUCUGUCGUCAGCUCGUGUCGUGAGAUGUUGGGUUAAGUCCCGUAACGAGCGCAAACCCUUGUCCUUAGUUACCAGCACGUUAUGGUGGGCACUCUAAGGAGACUGCCGGUGACAAACCGGAGGAAGGUGGGGAUGACGUCAAGUCAUCAUGGCCCUUACGGCCUGGGCUACACACUGUGCUACAAUGGUCGGUACAGAGGGUUGCCAAGCCGCGAGGUGGAGCUAAUCCCACAAAACCGAUCGUAGUCCUGGAUCGCAGUCUGCAACUCGACUGCGUGAAGUCGGAAUCGCUAGUAAUCGCGAAUCAGAAUGUCGCGGUGAAUACGUUCCCGGUCU
rnacentral:rRNA from 1 species